rnacentral:rRNA from 1 species
AGUCGAACGGAAAGGCCCUGCUUGCAGGGUACUCGAGUGGCGAACGGGUGAGUAACACGUGGGUGAUCUGCCCUGCACUUCGGGAUAAGCUUGGGAAACUGGGUCUAAUACCGGAUAGGAACCAUCUUUAGUGUGGUGGUUGGAAAGUUUUUUCGGUGUAGGAUGAGCUCGCGGCCUAUCAGCUUGUUGGUGGGGUAAUGGCCUACCAAGGCGGCGACGGGUAGCCGGCCUGAGAGGGUGUACGGCCACAUUGGGACUGAGAUACGGCCCAGACUCCUACGGGAGGCAGCAGUGGGGAAUAUUGCACAAUGGGCGCAAGCCUGAUGCAGCGACGCCGCGUGGGGGAUGAAGGCCUUCGGGUUGUAAACUCCUUUCGCUAGGGACGAAGCUUUUUGUGACGGUACCUAGAUAAGAAGCACCGGCUAACUACGUGCCAGCAGCCGCGGUAAUACGUAGGGUGCGAGCGUUGUCCGGAAUUACUGGGCGUAAAGGGCUCGUAGGUGGUUUGUCGCGUCGUCUGUGAAAUUCUGGGGCUUAACUCCGGGCGUGCAGGCGAUACGGGCAUAACUUGAGUGCUGUAGGGGUAACUGGAAUUCCUGGUGUAGCGGUGAAAUGCGCAGAUAUCAGGAGGAACACCGAUGGCGAAGGCAGGUUACUGGGCAGUUACUGACGCUGAGGAGCGAAAGC